AACAAACGCUGGCGGCGUGUCUUAGGCAUGCAAGUUGAGCGGCAAGGAGGAGAGAUCCUCCCUAGAGCGGCGGACUGGUGAGUAACGCGUGGGUAAUCUAUCGUAGGCAUGGGGAUAGUCACUAGAAAUAGUGGGUAAUACCGAAUACGUUCCAUGAGGGGAGUACUUAUGGAAGAAAGGGUGCUACGGCACUGGCCUUAGGUGAGCUCGCGUCCCAUUAGCUAGUUGGUGAGGUAAAGGCCCACCAAGGCGAUGAUGGGUAGCCGGCCUGAGAGGGUGUACGGCCACACUGGGACUGAGAUACGGCCCAGACUCCUACGGGAGGCAGCAGCUAAGAAUAUUCCGCAAUGGACGAAAGUCUGACGGAGCGACGCCGCGUGGAUGAAGAAGGCCGAAAGGUUGUAAAGUUCUUUUGCUAGGGGAGAAUAAGUGAGGGAGGGAAUGCCCUCAUGAUGACAAGGACUAGCGAAUAAGCCCCGGCAACUACGUGCCAGCAGCCGAC
rnacentral:rRNA from 1 species